rnacentral:rRNA from 1 species
AACGUAGGAGACGAACGUUAUCCGGAGUUACUGGGCGUAAAGGGCGUGUAGGCGGUUUGUUAAGUCUGGCGUGAAAGCUCUCGGCUAAACCGGGAGAGGUCGUUGGAUACUGGCGAACUAGAGGAUGGUAGAGGCGUGUGGAAUUCCGGGUGUAGUGGUGAAAUGCGUAGAUAUCGGGAGGAACACCAAUUGCGAAGGCAGCUCGCUGGGACGUUACUGACGCUGAGACGCGAAAGCGUGGGGAGCAAACAGG